CUUUAUUUUCAGAUCUGAACAUUCUACCCCUUCCUCCACGUAACCAAUUCCCCCUUCCCUCCCAUGAAACCAAUCCUCCCGUCUCUCCACUUAUUUUCUGUUGAAUUUUGCUUUCAUUCCCGUCUCUCCCCAUAUUAUCUGUUGAAUUUUGCUUUCUGGAUUCCUGUAACAUGCUUCUCUGCAUCCAUAUAAACACCUUCCACUCUUACAAAACCCUACAUCAUCUUUGAUUUCGCUCUCACACACUUCAAAUUUGUUCUCAAUUGCUUACGACAAGGUAAAUUGAAGGUCUUCACAGCUGUUGAUACUGAACGGAGAUGUGCAUCUGAUUGUAAUCAACAAACAGUUAGGGCAAACUUCAAGAGAGAUCGAGCAGGUAAAGUGUGCCAGAAGUCACCAUAUUCCCCUUCCAUUGAGCUGAAUGUCAAGCCACGCUACGGACGUGAGUUGUGAGGGGACGGGAUGACGGUAGUAGGCAUCACUCAGGAGCACAAUUCUGAAAGCAGAUGUCUAUUGUCAUGUUAAAGAGGCCAAGCAAAAUCUAUCAAGUUACUUCUGCACAUAAAGCGCAAUGAGGGAGGCAACUCUUAUCUUUUGAUAUCCGAAAACUUAUCUUUUAUUAUUUAAGAAAGACAAAGUCAUAAAACUAGAUCAUUUAAUGUGGUUAACUAUAUAGUGGUCAAAAGCGCGCUAGAGUCUAGGUGCAAGCCUAGGCUCUCGGGACGAGGCGAGGCACAACUAAAACGCCUCAAACACACUCAAGUGCUAAAAACGCUUUGCACCAGCCUGAGUGGGUCUGAACCAGCCUUGUGGUUUCUUUAUUUGAGUUGAAUCCACUCUAUAGUCAAUCUCCCUUGCCAUAUU
rnacentral:lncRNA from 1 species